rnacentral:misc_RNA from 1 species
CAGAAGCUUGAGACUGGUUCUGUAAAGUUUGAGGCCUUGUGUGACAAGGAUCAAUCUACAAAGAAAGUUCCAGCUAUGGGGAAUCUUGAAAGAAGAAUUCUGGAAGUCAACAAAAAGAGGGUAAAGGUGGUGAAGCCUGGUUCUAAGACUUCUUUUCCCACAACUGAGGUUCGAGGAACAUAUGCCCCUCCAUUCCACGUGGAGC